ACUCCUACGGGAGGCAGCAGUGGGGAAUAUUGCACAAUGGGCGCAAGCCUGAUGCAGCCAUGCCGCGUGUAUGAAGAAGGCCUUCGGGUUGUAAAGUACUUUCAGCAGUGAGGAAGGUGGGUAUGUUAAUAGCAUAUUCAUUUGACGUUAGCUGCAGAAGAAGCACCGGCUAACUCCGUGCCAGCAGCCGCGGUAAUACGGAGGGUGCGAGCGUUAAUCGGAAUUACUGGGCGUAAAGCGCAUGCAGGUGGUUUGUUAAGUCAGAUGUGAAAGCCCGGGGCUCAACCUCGGAAUUGCAUUUGAAACUGGCAAACUAGAGUACUGUAGAGGGGGGUAGAAUUUCAGGUGUAGCGGUGAAAUGCGUAGAGAUCUGAAGGAAUACCGGUGGCGAAGGCGGCCCCCUGGACAGAUACUGACACUCAGAUGCGAAAGCGUGGGGAGCAAACAGGAUUAGAUACCCUGAUAGGCUCU
rnacentral:rRNA from 1 species